rnacentral:rRNA from 1 species
GAUCCUGGCUCAGAACGAACGCUGGCGGCGUGCUUAACACAUGCAAGUCGAGUGCGCGGUGCCGUAGCAAUACGGUACUGGCGCACGGCGCACGGGUGCGUAACACGUGGGUAACCUGCCCUUUGAUGGGGAAUAACCCCGCGAAAGCGGGGCUAAUUCCGCAUAAGAUCCGCAAGGAUGAAAGCCGUAAGGCGUCGAAGGAGGGGCCCGCGCACGAUUAGCUAGUUGGUAGGGUAAUGGCCUACCAAGGCUAUGAUCGUUAGCUGGUCUGAGAGGAUGGCCAGCCACACUGGAACUGAGACACGGUCCAGACUCCUACGGGAGGCAGCAGUGGGGAAUCUUGCACAAUGGGCGAAAGCCUGAUGCAGCGACGCCGCGUGGGGGAUGAAGCUUCUCGGAGUGUAAACCCCUUUCGACCCGGACGAAUACCUCGCAAGAGGGGUGACGGUACGGGUAUAAGAAGCCCCGGCUAACUACGUGCCAGCCGCCGC